AAUGACUCGGAGCCAGCCCGGAAGACCAUGCGCAGAGGAGUGCUGGUGACCCUGCUGCAGCAGUCGGCCAUGACCCUGCCCCUGUGGAUCGGGAAGCCUGGUGACAAGUCCCCACCCCUCUGUGGGGCCAUCGCCACCUCGGGACUUCGUGGCCAGACCUGAAGACAAGGUGGCUGCCUGGGUAAAGGCUGUGGAUGGGGACGAGCAGUAGAUCCUGGCCGAGGUGGUCAGUUACAGCCACACCACCAACAGGGAGUGCCACCAGCCCCAGGAAUGCUCUCUAGUCACCGCACCUGCCUGGGCUUUGGCUCUGCAGCAGGAGAAAAGGUCCCCAGAGGGUGCUGUGGGCGGGGCCUGCUAUGCAGGGAGCACCCAGUUCUUGGGCUGUCCCUGUCCUCUUCACUUUCCGACAGGGACCGAGACCCUGGCUGCAUCCGGCGUGUUCUUUCUCUUGUCUGCAUGUAUGAGGUAGAUGACAUCGAUGAAGAAGGCAAAGAGAGACACAGCCUGAGCUGGUGUGGGUCACCCUGCUGCCCCAGUGGAUGGCCAACCCCGAGAUGGACUCCACGAACUUGUUUGGGCCAGGGCAGGGCAUGGAGCCCGGGUGAGGCAGGAUAGGCCAUGAAGGAGACAACAACGUUCUGGGGAUGCUGCCACUCUGGUGACCGCACAGCCAACAUAGUA